AGCGAACGCUGGCGGCAUGCCUAACACAUGCAAGUCGAACGAGACCUUCGGGUCUAGUGGCGCACGGGUGCGUAACGCGUGGGAAUCUGCCCUUGGGUUCGGAAUAACUCGCCGAAAGGCGUGCUAAUACCGGAUGAUGUCGUAAGACCAAAGAUUUAUCGCCCAGGGAUGAGCCCGCGUAAGAUUAGGUAGUUGGUGAGGUAAAGGCUCACCAAGCCGACGAUCUUUAGCUGGUCUGAGAGGAUGAUCAGCCACACUGGGACUGAGACACGGCCCAG
rnacentral:rRNA from 1 species